GUGAGUGAUNNNNUUUUNGNAUCGUAAAGNUCUNNNUAGGGGAAGNNNAAGUACCNGUUNGAAUAGGNNNGUNCCNUNGACGGUACCCUNANNCNGAAANCCACNGCUNAACUACGUGCCAGCAGCCGCGGNUAAUACGUAGGUGNCNAAGNGUUGUCCCGGNAAUUUAUUGGGCGUAAAGGGCUCGCAGGCGGUUUCUUUAAGUCUGAUGUGAAAGCCCCCCGGCUCAACCGGGGAGGGUCAUUGGAAACUGGGGAACUUGAGUGCAGAAGAGGAGAGUGGAAUUCCACGUGUAGCGGUGAAAUGCGUAGAGAUGUGGAGGAACACCAGUGGCGAAGGCGACUCUCUGGUCUGUAACUGACGCUGAGGAGCGAAAGCGUGGGGAGCGAACAGGAUUAGAUACCCUGGUAGUCCACGCCGUAAACGAUGAGUGCUAAGUGUUAGGGGGUUUCCGCCCCUUAGUGCUGCAGCUAACGCAUUAAGCACUCCGCCUGGGGAGUACGGUCGCAAGACUGAAACUCAAAGGAAUUGACGGGGGCCCGCACAAGCGGUGGAGCAUGUGGUUUAAUUCGAAGCAACGCGAAGAACCUUACCAGGUCUUGACAUCCUCUGACAAUCCUAGAGAUAGGACGUCCCCUUCGGGGGCAGAGUGACAGGUGGUGCAUGGUUGUCGUCAGCUCGUGUCGUGAGAUGUUGGGUUAAGUCCCGCAACGAGCGCAACCCUUGAUCUUAGUUGCCAGCAUUCAGUUGGGCACUCUAAGGUGACUGCCGGUGACAAACCGGAGGAAGGUGGGGAUGACGUCAAAUCAUCAUGCCCCUUAUGACCUGGGCUACACACGUGCUACAAUGGACAGAACAAAGGGCAGCGAAACCGCGAGGUUAAGCCAAUCCCACAAAUCUGUUCUCAGUUCGGAUCGCAGUCUGCAACUCGACUGCGUGAAGCUGGAAUCGCUAGUAAUCGCGGAUCAG
rnacentral:rRNA from 1 species